AGCUCCAAUAGCGUAUAUUAAAGUUGCUGCAGUUAAAAAGCUCGUAGUUGCAUUUCCGAGGCAAGGGAUUAGUCCGACCUUUGGUGGGUAUUUAAUCCUCUUGCCUCGUCCUUGAGUGGUGCUUCUUGGUAUUAAGUUAUCGAGGAGAUAGCCGCUCAUCGUUUACUGUGAGAAAAUUAGAGUGUUCAAAGCAGGCUUAUGCCGUUGAAUAUAUUAGCAUGGAAUAAUAAGAUAGGACCUCGGUACUAUUUUGUUGGUUUGAGAACCAAGGUAAUGAUGAAUAGGGACAGUUGGGGGUAUUCGUAUUUAACUGUCAGAGGUGAAAUUCUUAGAUUUACGGAAGACGAACUACUGCGAAAGCAUUUACCAAGGAUGUUUUCA
rnacentral:rRNA from 1 species